CGCAGGAUGUNCUNNCGGCCUAUCANCUUGUNGGUGAGGUAANGGCUCACCAAGGCUNUGACGGGUAGCCNGCCUGAGAGGGUGACNGGUCACACNGGGACUGAGACANNNCCCAGACUCNNACGGGAGGCAGCAGUGGGGAAUAUNGGACAAUGGGCGGAAGCNUGAUCCAGCAACGCCGCGUGAGGGAUGACGGCNUUCGGGUUGUAAACCUCUUUCAGUACCGACGAAGCGAAAGUGACGGUAGGUACAGAAGAAGGACCGGCCAACUACGUGCCAGCAGCCGCGGUAAUACGUAGGGUCCGAGCGUUGUCCGGAAUUAUUGGGCGUAAAGGGCUCGUAGGCGGUUUGUCGCGUCGGGAGUGAAAACAGCGGGCUUAACUCGUUGCUUGCUUCCGAUACGGGCAGACUAGAGGUAUGCAGGGGAGAAUGGAAUUCCUGGUGUAGCGGUGAAAUGCGCAGAUAUCAGGAGGAACACCGGUGGCGAAGGCGGUUCUCUGGGCAUUACCUGACGCUGAGGAGCGAAAGUGUGGGGAGCGAACAGGAUUAGAUACCCUGGUAGUCCACACCGUAAACGUUGGGCGCUAGGUGUGGGGUCCUUUCCACGGAUUCCGUNCCGUAGCUAACGCAUUAAGCGCCCCGCCUGGGGAGUACGGCCGCAAGGCUAAAACUCAAAGGAAUUGACGGGGGCCCGCACAAGCGGCGGAGCAUGCGGAUUAAUUCGAUGCAACGCGAAGAACCUUACCUGGGUUUGACAUACACCGGAAGCCCCCAGAGAUGGGGGUCUCUUUGAUACUGGUGUACAGGNGGUG
rnacentral:rRNA from 1 species